UUUAAUAUUUUAAGAAACUGCCAAAUCAUUUUCCAUGCUGGCUACACCAUUUUACAUUUCCACCAGCAAUAUAUGACGUGUUUUUCCAUAACCUCACCAAAACUUAGUACUGUUGUUUAAAAAGUAUUGUUAUUGUAGCCUCUUAGUGUAUGUGAAAUUACAUCUCAUUAUGGUUUUAUUUUGUAAUUCCUUAAUGACUAAAGACAUUGAAUAUCUUUUCAUGUGAUUAUUAGCCAUUUAUGUAUCUCCUUUGUGACAUGUAGAUUAUGCACGUCUACUCAAAUCUUUUAUCUAAAAGAGUUGUCAUCUUAUUAUGGAGUUCUAGGGGUAAUUUAUAUAUUUUGAAUACAAGUUCCUAAUUAAUGUCUUUAACUUUGCCUGGAACUCUAAAAUUAAAUGAUCUUUCAUUUGUGAGCUAGAACAAGGGUUCUCAAAUUGUGGCCCAGGGUCUCAGGGACUGUUAUGGGGGUUCAAGAAGUCAAAAGUAUUUUCAUAAUUAUACUUAGACAUUAAUUGCCCUUUUCAUUCUCAUGCUUUUAUGAGUAUACAAUAGAGUUUUCUAGUGGCUACAAGAAGUGUUCACAAUUAUCUGAAAAGGCUCUUAAAAUACUCCUCUCUUUUGCAGCUACAUGUCUGUGUGAGGCCAAUUUUCUUCAUAUACUUCAAAACAACAGAAGAAUCCAGAUGUCUUCUAUUAACCAGAUGUUGGAAAGACUCAACCAACAUUUCUGAAGGCUUUGAGGCCCUUGCCAUCACAUGCUAAGAGGAGUAAAAUGAAGAAGCUAGCAACUGAAACAUGUACCAAGAAUAUCUGGGGGUGAGACCAAAUUUCUGAUGAGAUUAUUGUUGAAAAUCUGUUAAACUCUGUACAUUAUAUGGGGCUCAAACAGACCGCCUCUGCGAUUAUGUUUCCUUAUAUCUCCCUCAGUGUCAGCUUGCUCAUCUAUCUCCUGGGACAUUUUUGUCAGAAUACAGUGGCUGAAGCGUUUAAAAGGAAAGCUACAUCCAGAAAAAACUCCUGGAGUUGGGAUUUCAAAAUCUUAUUUCCAUUUUAUUCAAGUUAUUUCCUCUUUCUGCUGCAGCAAGGCAAAACUGAUGAACAAAGAGCAGCUUAUUAUUAGGAAGUAAGCAUUAAGGAAUUAUAACUUCAGCGAGGAUGCCAUGCCUCCUGGCUUAACUAGAAUGCAGUCUCUCUGACUCUCAACCCUAGCUUACUCAAGAAGCUAGAGAAUCCUGUUACCAAAUCUGUAUGGUUCUGGCUGGACUAUAGGAAACAUAUUGAGGUUUGGGAAUUUGACGGCGCUUUCUGCUGAAUGACAGGUGAAAGAGUGGUUUAUAAAAUUGUAUGAGUUUUUAGAAAAGUUUAUCUACCUCCUACCUAUCAGAAAAUAUGAGUUAAUGUUUGCUAAUAUAAUUCAUUAUGAAACAACAUAAAAUCAUGCCUCAAAAGACACAUAUAAAAACAUAAAUUCCCUCAUCUUUAGAACUUUGUUUUCAAGUUUAUACAUAACAAUGUUAUGAAUUCUGUAGGAGUUUAAUUUUUUCUUUCCUGAAACUGACACAAAUAUUCAUUUAGAAAAUAUUUAUUCCCAUCAUCUCCUAAUGAAUUACAGAUAAUUUAUGGAUAUUAAAAUUUGAAUAAUUUUGAAAUAAUUAGAGCUUUUUUGAAAAGAAAAAUCUCAAUAUCUCUUCUGUACUAGUAAUGGAGUUACUAAGUUGCAGAAAAAUGUCACUAUAAAAACACAAGAAAAACAUUUUUUAUUAACAAAAACCACAUUCCUAAGGAAAUGAAAUCAAGGCAAGGUACUUAACAGCAGAUUCAUCUUGGAGAUUAUAAUCCUAAUGUUUUCACACUCUUACUCAAACAUCUGGCACUCGACUGUAUCACUCACUGGGUCAUUUUUCCUCUUUCAACAAGGACUUACUCAUAAAUGUCCUAUCUUUACACAGAAGUUUACUUAACUAAGAGUAGACAUUUUCAGAUAUCUGUAAUGCAUAAUAUAUUAAUAACAUUUAAAUAAAAUAUAAGCCUUUAUGCUUUCCUAAGAUAUGUGUAAUCAGAAAAUAAUAACACAGUACAAUUUCCUUAAGGCACCUAUCACAAAAAAAGUUGCUGAAAGCUUUGUACACAUGAAUGUUAACACCUCAAAAUUUCAGUAAGAUCUUAAUCAAAACCAGACAUUAUGCUCCACUCUGGGCCUUUUGUUUAACUGAGGUAAAAUGUAUCGUACAAUAUAGUAAGUCUGGAUAAAUGUUUCCCUGAGCCAAGAAAGCUACCCUGUGCUCUCUCCAGCCAAUCCCCGCCCACCACUAGGAAACUACUAUUCUAAUUUCAGUCACAUAGUUUGGUUUUUGCCUUUUCUUGAACUUGAUGUAAAUGAACCAUACAGUAAGCACUUCUUUGUGUCUUUUUUCCCUGAAAGUUUUUAAGAUCUGGGUUGUAUGCAUCAGUAGUUCAUUCUUUUCAUUGCUGAAUAGUAUUCCAUUAUAUGCAUAUACAUAGUUUACCCACAUUAUGAAUAAAGAUGCUAUGAACAUUCAUGUGCACAUAUUUGUGUGGACAUGUGUAUUCAUGUUCCUGGAUAAAUACCUGGGAGUGGAAUUCCUGGGUCAUAGCAAUAGGUAUGUACUAGGUAGGCCUAGGGUAUAUAUACAGUGACUUUAUAGGAAACUGACAAGCUAUUUGCUAAUGUGGUUGUGCCAUUUUAUGCUUCCCA
rnacentral:lncRNA from 1 species